GUCGUUUUUAGCUGGACAAGUGCACGAAGGGGAGGUGUUGUAUCGGAAAGCUACUUCAAGAAGCCAAUGCGAGAAGCAUAAUCUUUCCAAUCACAAUUCACAAGAAGGCUAUGAAUGGUUUCGAAGCCUAUGUUAAGAUACGCUAGGCAGGUCCAAGUGCAACAAAGAUUCUGACUUUCUCCCGGCUACAGAGAUUUUGACCUCUUUUCCUCCUUUAUAAGUACGGACAGAUUUACAUUUUAUUUCUUUUGUUUACUUUCAUGUAAGGUAGCAGUGAAUUGGGAGAAUGUGACUUGUUUCCUACGCAUUCUAUGUGUUCGUUGUAAUGCCGAUAAUUAAAAGUGGUCUUUCGGAUCUGCCACACUCUAUGUCAAUCUAAUGAACAAAAUGUUAAGCA